UCUGCCCACUUGCUAGAGCAGCGGACUGUUAAUCCGCUUGUCGCUGGUUCGAGCCCAGCAGGCGGAGCCA
rnacentral:tRNA from 1 species